rnacentral:lncRNA from 1 species
UUUCAAAAUCUUAACAAACCUUAACCAGCUGCACCCCGUGUCUCUUCUCCCUCGUAUGAAGGCCGGCCGACCACCACAUGUGGUGGCGGCGUUUGGCGGCUGCAACGACGAUAAGCGGAGGUGAGACACCGUAGGCGGCGGUGUUUUGUCUCGAAGUCCCGGUCAAACUCACACCGCUACUCACCUUCUUCCUCUAUAUAUGACACUCACAAAUCCGAAUCAAGAACGAGACUACAGAGAGUGGCCGGAGAAAGAGGGAGUUAAGGGGGGGGGGGGGGGCUGUGAUGUUGAAGAUGACUGGCGACGACAGUGACGCCGCCUCAGGCGGCGGCGGCAACCGGCGGAUGAGUAUCAUCCCUGUAAACCGACGCCGGAGACAUUCGCCGGAACCUGAAAUCCACGAUGGAGCUUAGUUUCUUCCGUUUCGGUUAGUUUUAUCAUUUGAAGUCCACUUGUUCGUGCGGUAAAUCAAGGAAUCCUUAUACGCAAAAUGGUACUACGCGUAAUAGGCUAGCCACUCCUUAAGCAUCCAUAGAAGUCUUGCAAGCUUAGGAUGCAAGAAGUCUGUUGAAACGAAGUUUCCUGUUUAUUUGAUUCUGCCUGUGGAUUCUAUUUUGACAUUUUGUGAUACUCGAAUAUUACAAUAAUUUAAUUUGAAAUGAAUCUAUCUUUGCU